rnacentral:rRNA from 1 species
GAGAGAGACAUGCGCGCAUAUCAAUAAGCGGAGGAAAAGAAACUAACAAGGAUUCCCUUAGUAACGGCGAGUGAAGCGGGAAGAGCUCAAAUUUGAAAUCUUCAAGGUUUUACCUUGACGAAUUGUAGUUUAAAGAAGUGUUUUCUGCUGAAGUUUUGGUAAAAGUUCUUUGGAAUAGGACAUCAUAGAGGGUGAGAAUCCCGUAUUUGACCAUUAUUUUCAGCUUUGUGAUACACUUUCAAAGAGUUGGAUUGUUUGGGAAUGCAGUCCAAAAUGGGUGGUAAAUUUCAUCUAAAGCUAAAUAUUGGCGAGAGACCGAUAGCGAACAAGUACCGUGAGGGAAAGAUGAAAAGAACUUUGAAAAGAGAGUUAAACAGUACGUGAAAUUGUCAAAAGGGAAGCGUUUGACACCAGUGUUGUUUUCUCGAAAAUCAAUUAAAAAUGGCUCGAUUUUGUAUUGCUUGAGACCUUAAAAGCUCACUGUACAUUUUUCGUGUCUUUUUUAAUGCACUUUUCGUUUAACAAGUCAACAUCAGUUUCUUUUGUUGUAAAAGGGUCAUUGGAAGGUGGCUUUCUUUUCGGAGAAAGUGUUUAUAGCCUUUGGCCUCUGCAAUCGAAGAGACUGAGGUCUGCAGCGUAGACUCUUCGGGGUUAGAUACAUUUGUGCUAAGUUAUAGCUUUUUAUAGACAACUUGUUGACUAUAAUUAGUCUUGUAGCUUACUCGCUUAUGCCUAUUUUACCUACGCUUAGGAUGUUGAGUCGUAGAGCACGCAG